AACGAACGCUGGCGGCAUGCCUAACACAUGCAAGUCGAACGAAGGCUUCGGCCUUAGUGGCGCACGGGUGCGUAACGCGUGGGAACCUGCCCCUCGGUUCGGAAUAACAGUUAGAAAUGACUGCUAAUACCGGAUGAUGACUUCGGUCCAAAGAUUUAUCGCCGAGGGAUGGGCCCGCGUAGGAUUAGCUAGUUGGUGGGGUAAAGGCCUACCAAGGCGACGAUCCUUAGCUGGUCUGAGAGGAUGAUCAGCCACACUGGGACUGAGACACGGCCCAGACUCCUACGGGAGGCAGCAGUGGGGAAUAUUGGACAAUGGGCGAAAGCCUGAUCCAGCAAUGCCGCGUGAGUGAUGAAGGCCUUAGGGUUGUAAAGCUCUUUUACCUAGGGAUGAUAAUGACAGUACCUGGAGAAUAAGCUCCGGCUAACUCCGUG
rnacentral:rRNA from 1 species